rnacentral:rRNA from 1 species
UACGUAGGGGGCAAGCGUUGUUCGGAAUUACUGGGCGUAAAGGGCGCGUAGGCGGCACGGCAAGUCGGGAGUGAAAGCCCGGGGCUCAACCCCGGAGGGUCUCUCGAAACUGCCGAGCUAGAGUGCGGAAGAGGCAAUCGGAAUUCUUGGUGUAGCGGUGAAAUGCGUAGAUAUCAAGAGGAACACCUGAGGUGAAGACGGGUUGCUAGGCUGACACUGACGCUGAGGCGCGAAAGCCAGGGGAGCAAACGGG